rnacentral:rRNA from 1 species
CCUACGGGUGGCAGCAGUGAGGAAUAUUGGUCAAUGGACGAGAGUCUGAACCAGCCAAGUAGCGUGAAGGAUGACUGCCCUAUGGGUUGUAAACUUCUUUUAUAUGGGAAUAAAAUGUUCCACGUGUGGGAUUUUGUAUGUACCAUAUGAAUAAGGAUCGGCUAACUCCGUGCCAGCAGCCGCGGUAAUACGGAGGAUCCGAGCGUUAUCCGGAUUUAUUGGGUUUAAAGGGAGCGUAGGUGGAUUGUUAAGUCAGUUGUGAAAGUUUGCGGCUCAACCGUAAAAUUGCAGUUGAAACUGGCAGUCUUGAGUACAGUAGAGGUGGGCGGAAUUCGUGGUGUAGCGGUGAAAUGCUUAGAUAUCACGAAGAACUCCGAUUGCGAAGGCAGUUCACUGCACUGCAACUGACACUGAGGCUCGAAAGUGUGGGUAUCAAACAGGAUUAGAGACCCUGGUAGUC